GGAGGGAUCAUUACAAGAACGCCCGGGCUUCGGCCUGGUUAUUCAUAACCCUUUGUUGUCCGACUCUGUUGCCUCCGGGGCGACCCUGCCUUCGGGCGGGGGCUCCGGGUGGACACUUCAAACUCUUGCGUAACUUUGCAGUCUGAGUAAACUUAAUUAAUAAAUUAAAACUUUUAACAACGGAUCUCUUGGUUCUGGCAUCGAUGAAGAACGCAGCGAAAUGCGAUAAGUAAUGUGAAUUGCAGAAUUCAGUGAAUCAUCGAAUCUUUGAACGCACAUUGCGCCCCCUGGUAUUCCGGGGGGCAUGCCUGUUCGAGCGUCAUUUCACCACUCAAGCCUCGCUUGGUAUUGGGCAACGCGGUCCGCCGCGUGCCUCAAAUCGUCCGGCUGGGUCUUCUGUCCCCUAAGCGUUGUGGAAACUAUUCGCUAAAGGGUGUUCGGGAGGCUACGCCGUAAAACAACCCCAUUUCUAAGGUUGACCUCGGAUCAGGUAGGGAUACCCGCUGAACUUAAGC
rnacentral:rRNA from 1 species